ensembl:lncRNA
GAGAAUAUGGUAUCUUCAUCCAAAGGAAGCAUUGUAAUAUAUAACAAAAGCAGAUAUCAGUAAGAGAACAUCAAAAAGAAGACUUCUGUUUUCUUUGAACAAGAAGACAUGUUUGGGACUCAGGGGAAAAAUCUGCACAUCUCUGACCAGACCCAGCAGAACAAAUAUUCCCCUGGAGAACUUCAGAACAGUUAGCCACAUUUCUCUGAGAGAUAAAGAAGCAGCAUUCAGCUGAAGGAAGAGUGUUUCAGCAGAAAACCAAACCUACAGCUCUCAGGUAGGUAUCUCAGCAGACCAAAUCGAACUCAUGGUAUCUUAAUGAAAACACUGAU